rnacentral:sRNA from 1 species
UGAUGCAAAACAAAGAAAUGGCAGCGG